AUGAUGACAGCUCGAGUGUGCUGCGUGUUGAUCGUUGUUUUGUUGUGUCUCUCUGUAUGCUUGAGCACAACAGAUGCCAGGAGACUUGUCACAGUAAAACAAACCGUUCCAUUGGAUGAAGAAUUUAUAGAUGGCAGUGGCAUGGGUGGCAUUAGAGAUGAGCUGCAAAAGGAUCAUUUAUUGGACACUGUGAACGUGGCCAAGGUGUGUGCCCAUGACAGUGACUGUCCAAACAAUGAGAAGUGCUGCAGAACUAAAUGUGCACUUGAAUGUACACCUCUAUAUGAAUGGGCCCUGGUCCAUGACUCGGACUGAUGUGCUGAGAACUCAUCCAUGAUGAUCAAUGUCCUGCCAGACAGAAGUGUUGCCCAACCACCUGUGGCCAUGCAUGCAGCUAACCGUGUCAAUUUAGCCAUCAGGAAUAAGUCCACGAGUUGUUGGUUGUGUAUUCUUUUUUCUUUUCUUUUUUUUCCUCCAUGCUAUACUUGAGGUCUUUUACAUUCAUAAAAAAUCUCAGUGUAGUAAAACUUCUGUGUGUAUGUUGUUGGGGUGUGUGGCACUGAUGUACCUAAUGCAAAUGAAAGUCAGUCUCCUGUUGACUAGCAGAGAUGAUAAAAGGUGAUUGUAAUGCCAAUAAUACCCUGUGUGGGAGUCCUGUCACUGAAUUUAAUGGUAGCAUAAUUGAGGAAAUAAUGGAUGAACUGGGAUUAGUUUGUCUUAAUAAUGGUAGCAGUACAAGACUGGAUGUAGUGGAUAAUUUUAACUGCUGUAUUUUUCUGUGUGCUUGGUUUUUAUUUUGUGUUUAUGUAACUCAUGUAUUAUUGGAACUCAUUUUUUGCCAUGAAGAUUAGAUGCUGACAUGCCAAUAAAAAUAAAGAACUACUGGAUGUAAUGGUCA
ensembl:lncRNA